UACAGAGGGUGCGAGCGUUGUUCGGAAUUAUUGGGCGUAAAGCGCAUGUAGGCGGCCUGUUAAGUCACGUGUGAAAGCCCCAGGCUCAACCUGGGAAGUGCGCGUGAAACUGGCGGGCUUGAAUCCUGGAGAGGGUGGCGGAAUUCCCGGUGUAGAGGUGAAAUUCGUAGAUAUGGGGAGGAACACCGGUGGCGAAGGCGGAUCUCUGGGCCGAUACUGACGCUGAGGAGCGAAAGCGUGGGGAGCGAACAGG
rnacentral:rRNA from 1 species